rnacentral:rRNA from 1 species
UACAGAGGUGGCAAGCGUUGUUCGGAAUUACUGGGCGUAAAGGGUGCGUAGGCGGUCUGUCGCGUCGGAUGUGAAAAUCCAGGGCUCAACCCUGGACCUGCAUUGGGUACGGGCAGACUGGAGUGCGGUAGGGGAGAAUGGAAUUCCUGGUGUAGCGGUGAAAUGCGCAGAUAUCAGGAGGAACACCGGUGGCGAAGGCGGGUCUCUGGGCAACUACUGACGCUGAGGAGCGAAAGCGUGGGGAGCGAACGGG